rnacentral:rRNA from 1 species
UACGUAGGGGGCAAGCGUUGUCCGGAUUUAUUGGGCGUAAAGAGCGUGUAGGCGGUUUGGUAGGUCCGCUGUGAAAACUCGAGGCUCAACCUCGAGACGCCGGUGGAAACCAUCAGACUAGAGUCCGGAAGAGGAGAGUGGAAUUCCUGGUGUAGCGGUGAAAUGCGCAGAUAUCAGGAAGAACACCCGUGGCUAAGGCGGCUCUCUAGUACGGUACUGACGCUGAGACGCGAAAAGCGUGGGGAGCGAACAGG